GAGGACUUAAGGAAGCUCAAGUGGGAUUGUAGCAAUGAUGAAGAAGAAGAAUUGAAUGAGGAUUUGUGGAAUGAAUUAAAUGAGGAGUUGGGGAAUGUCAGGUGGGAUGAAAUUCAUCAGGCGCUCAUGAGCUUCAGGGGGGCGUGCUUGUUUGACGCCAAGCAGUUAGCCAUGAAGACCGACGAGUACCUAGCUUGCUUGGAGGAGAACAUGAAGUUUAUCCGGGAGAUGCGGCAACCAAUAAUACCAGAUUAGUUUUGACAGCCAUUUAGGUUAUGAAAGAAACUCCUGUCACAUGUGGACAAGCCAUGGAUGAACCAGAUCUUAUGCCAAACAAGGAUGACUUUUCCCCAAUUGGAACACUUCCUGGUUCAUCACUUUUGGGAAUCAUGGCAGCGAAGAUGCUAACACCUGGAGCCAUGACAUCUGGCUGGAAAACAGAUUAGUGAAAGAAACAGUGAGUGUGUUGUUCUCAAGAUGCUUAUGUUAAUUCUUGGUUCAUGGAUGUGAAAUGAACUGCAUUUAGGAACAAAAAGUUGAAAACUACCUUGAGAAUGUUUUCUGUAAGGCUUGAAGGGCCUCUUGAUGAGAAAGAUGCAACAACUGGUGAAGGCUUAUAUCUAGGAACUUCUACUGUUGGAAGAACUGUUGCAGUUGGGUUUCUGUAUAGAAGGCAUCAUAGACUCAGCAUUUAGUUAAAAGUUAUUUUUAUCUCUUAGGUCA